rnacentral:rRNA from 1 species
CGGGUGAGUAACACGUGGAUAACCUACCUAUAAGACUGGGAUAACUUCGGGAAACCGGAGCUAAUACCGGAUAAUAUUUCGAACCGCAUGGUUCAAAAGUGAAAGACGGUCUUGCUGUCACUUAUAGAUGGAUCCGCGCUGCAUUAGCUAGUUGGUAAGGUAACGGCUUACCAAGGCAACGAUGCAUAGCCGACCUGAGAGGGUGAUCGGCCACACUGGAACUGAGACACGGUCCAGACUCCUACGGGAGGCAGCAGCC